AGUGAACGCUGGCGGUAGGCCUAACACAUGCAAGUCGAACGGCAGCACAGGAGAGCUUGCUCUCUGGGUGGCGAGUGGCGGACGGGUGAGGAAUACAUCGGAAUCUACUCUGUCGUGGGGGAUAACGUAGGGAAACUUACGCUAAUACCGCAUACGACCUACGGGUGAAAGCAGGGGACCUUCGGGCCUUGCGCGAUUGAAUGAGCCGAUGUCGGAUUAGCUAGUUGGCGGGGUAAAGGCCCACCAAGGCGACGAUCCGUAGCUGGUCUGAGGGGAUGAUCAGCCACACUGGAACUGAGACACGGUCCAGACUCCUACGGGAGGCAGCAGUGGGGAAUAUUGGACAAUGGGCGCAAGCCUGAGCCAGCCAUACCGCGUGGGUGAAGAAGGCCUUCGGGUUAUAAAGCCCUUUUGUUGGGAAAGAAAUCCAGCUGGCUAAUACCCGGUUGGGAUGACGGUACCCAAAGAAUAAGCACCGGCUAACUUCGUGCCAGCCGCCGCAGUAA
rnacentral:rRNA from 1 species